rnacentral:lncRNA from 1 species
AUGUACAGGCAGGAACUCUUGUCUCUCCUGGGAUAUUUCUUCUCUGGGUGUGGAAUUAUAGAAAAUAUAAACCCAUUUGAAGUGGUAGGGAAAAGAUGGCCUUCCUUUCCAUUGGUUUUUUUUUGGUGAGUGAGGUAUUAUACAAAUAUCUGGGUCCCUAUUUUAAAAUUGGGAGACUGAGACUUCUGUUUCUCAUGAAAAACCCUCUGAUCGGGCACUAGUAGGACCACUUCCUGAAAGGC